GGAUGAGGUGGGGGUGCAGUUACUGAUGGUGCAUGGUCAGAUAGAGAAGUGAUCACCGGAAUAAUUACAAUGAAGGUAAAUGACACCCAGGAAGCAGACAGGGACUCCAGAUGAUGUCCAGGCCGAUACCACACACCACCGGCUCAGAGUACAGCGAGAAGACAAGCAGGAAGGCCCAGAACAGCAGAUAGAUGACUGGCCACACCGGGCUCACCCGAUGUCACCGGGUGGCAGGGACUGGGAGACGAGUCAGGAUCGAGGCAAAGAUGAACGGAGCAAAGUACAGAGAGAUCCUUCAUGAAAACCUACAGCGCACACAGGACCUCAGACUGGGGCGAAUGUUCA
ensembl:lncRNA